CCUGCAGUGUCUCAGGCAUCUUCACCUUUUUUCCAUUGAUAAAAUUACACAGGUACAUAACACCAGCAUUUGCAAGCUCCUGUUAUCAACAGUAAGUGCAAUACUUAGUACUGAAUAUCAAUCAAGAUGACUGGGAAAAUAGAUAUUCGCUACUAGUUCCAGAAACCACAUAUUAGACCUUUUUGGCUAUUAAUAAUAAUGAACAGAAUUUGUAGCCUAAUAGCUGAAAUAACAAUUUUUUCAAAUUACCUGCUUGCCUUCCAAAGAAAGUAACUUGCCAUCCUACAAAUUCAAAUAUAGUUGAGACAAAAAGAUCAGUAGGUAACAGAUAUUUUAUGAAAUACAAAUGUCAAUAUAUGUUUACAUAUGGGUAUUAGAAAUUUGAGAAUCCAAAACAAGAGCCUUUUGAUGAAGUGGUUGUGGAGAUAUACUAGUGAGGAAGGAACCCUAUGGAAGGAGGUGAUAGUGGCAAAGUAUGGGGAAUUGAACCCAUGGUGUACAGAGAUAGUGUCAGAACCCUAUGGAUGGGGAGUAUGGAGGUCAAUCAGAGCUUUAUG
rnacentral:lncRNA from 1 species